rnacentral:lncRNA from 1 species
UCUCAUUCAUCUAACACUCAAAACCCAAAGCACUAAAACACCAAAGUGCCGAAGCCCCUAGCCACAGCAGCACCCAGCAGCCGGCUAGCACACGCCCAGGUCCAUCGCACGCCAAUCUCGCGCACACCACGCGUACCUUGCCUCGUGCUGCUUCAACCUCAGCUCAAGCCAAGCCUUUAUCCCACACACCCUGCGUGUGACCAAGUGCUACCUACUGCCGAACGUCUGUGUCGCUGCUUGCAUCCAGCCCUGCUGUGCAUCGUUGCUCCCACACGCACCACGCCCACACACCGUAGCUGCUUGUGCGGCAUUCUUCAUUCAUCCACCCUAUGCCAAUAAACCCUCCAACCCUCC